GGCGAGUUACUGUAUGGAGCGAGGUUAAGCAGGAUAUGCGGAGCCGAAGCGAAAGCGAGUCUUAAGAGGGCGCGAGUUGCAUGCAGUAGACCCGAAACCGGGUGAUCUAGCCAUGACCAGGUUGAAGUUGGGGUAAAACCCGAUGGAGGACCGAACCGACCCCCGUUGAAACGUUGGCGGAUGAGUUGUGGCUAGGGGUGAAAUUCCAAUCGAACCCGGAGAUAGCUGGUUCUCCCCGAAAUAGCUUUAGGGCUAGCGUCGAGGUAGAGAGUUGCGUGAAGGUAGAGCACUGAAUAUGUGAUGGCCCCAUCUCGGGGUACUGAGCAUAAUCAAACUGCGAAUGUCACGCCAACAUGCUCGGCAGUCAGACAGCGGGUGAUAAGGUCCGUUGUCAAGAGGGAAACAGCCCAGACCAUCAGCUAAGGUCCCAAAAUGUAUGCUAAGUGGAAAAGGAUGUGGAGAUGUACAGACAACUAGGAGGUUGGCUCAGAAGCAGCCAUCCUUUAAAGAGUGCGUAACAGCUCACUAGUCGAAUGACUCUGCGCCGAUAAUUUACCGGGGCUAAGCAUACUACCGAAGCUAUGGAUCCCAAGGGAUGGUAGGGGAGCGUUCCAUGAACGGAGAAGUACGACCGAAAGGACGUGUGGAGAUCAUGGAAGAGAGAAUGCCGGUGUGAGUAGCGGAACGUGGGUGAGAAUCCCACGCACCGAAAACCCAAGGUUUCCAGAGGAAGGUUCGUCCGCUCUGGGUAAGUCGGGACCUAAGGCGAGGCCGAAAGGCGUAGUCGAUGGACAACAGGUAGAGAUUCCUGUACCCGUAUAUAUGUGAAGGAAUGACGGAGAGAGGAAGCUGCAGCCAGCGGCUGGAAGAGCUGGUGCAAGCGAGAUAUCGGGAUGGCAGGCAAAUCCACCAUCCGAAACGAGAAGGCGUGAAGCGUACGGAAAGCUACGGCGAGUACGGAAGGCAGUGGAGGAACUUCCAAGAAAAGUUUCUAACGUUAAGUAUAUAUGGCCCGUACCGAAAAUGGACACACAUGGGUGAGGAGAGAAUCCUAAGGUGAGCGAGAGAACUAUAGCUAAGGAACUCUGCAAAAUGACUCCGUAACUUAGGGAGAAGGAGUGCUCAUAGAGAUAUGAGCCGCAGUGAAACGGCCCAAGCGACUGUUUACCAAAAACACAGCUCUCUGCUAAGCCGCAAGGCGAAGUAUAGGGGGUGACGCCUGCCCGGUGCUGGAAGGUUAAGGGGAGAGGUUAGCGCAAGCGAAGCUUUGAACUUAAGCCCCAGUAAACGGCGGCCGUAACUAUAACGGUCCUAAGGUAGCGAAAUUCCUUGUCGGGUAAGUUCCGACCC
rnacentral:rRNA from 1 species